CUUCGGUCUUUUAAUUGAAAGAGAUACAGUAUUGAUGAGAAGCUUGCAUAAAUUUAAUCAUGGACAUAUGUGUAAACAAGAGACCAUGAUUGUACUUGCAAAGUCGGAUGUCUCCACCGGGACUCGAACCCGGAACCUCUGUGUUACAAGGCAGCACGUUAACCGACUGAGCUAAAGAAGUACUUCCUAAGCUCAACCGCUUAAGGCUGACUAACUACUACCAGAUUUUCUAAGGGAAGCAAUCCCGUCACAGUUCCUAUAUAUAUAUCUUUUAUAGGAACUAAAAACAAUAAACCAAUAGAUAAUUGCAAAAUACGCGAUGAUAACAUAUUAUCAUAUAAUUUCUUUAACACAUACAUACCAAUUUACACAUAAACAAUAUACAUAAUUUAUUCUAUAUAUAAUGACAUUUACACAUUAAAAAACUCUUAACACUUACUCAAAGAGAAUAUCUGCAUAAAAUUUAAUUUUGGUUGUAACAUGUCUUCUGGUCGUCUGAUGCGAAUACUAAUGCAGCCACAUACAUGAACAAAAUAUUAAUUAAUACAUGUAUUUUUUUCAAUGAUAAACACAUAUAAAUAGAUAAUCUUAAGUUACUAACCAAACAUAAAAAAAAAAUCAACAUAAGUAUUAUUAAGUUAAAUAUAUUCUGUUUAACAUUUUUUUCAACAUAGUUAUGCACACACUAUCAUGUCUAAAACAAAAACGAUAAAACCAAUUCUGCGGAAAGAGGAGAGGAUCUGGCAAAUGAGUCUAUUUCCAAUUUAAAGGGGUCAGGAUUUAAUUUCACUCAUAACAGUGCAAGGAUGUAUAUUUUCUAUUUCUUCUAUACUAUCUAUAACAUUUUGUGGCCAGAUUAUUCAUUUCCAUGUGUUAUACAUAAAUAAGGCAAGACAUAUACACAGCUACUUUUGCAUAGGUACUAUUUCUGUACCAAAAAUAUGUAGUACUGGAAAUCUACUUUUAAUAUUCAGUACUAUUUUGUUACUUAAGAAUUAUUGUAAUAUUU
rnacentral:lncRNA from 1 species